GUGGCGCACGGCUGAGGAUGGGCUUGCGUCCUAUCAGGUAGUUGGUGGGGUAACGGCCCACCAAGCCGACGACGGGUAGCUGGCCUGCGAGGGGCCGUCAAGGGCGAAUUCGCCCUUGUGGCGCACGGCUGAGGAACACGUGGGUGACCUGCCCCAGAGUGGGGGAUACCCCGUCGAAAGACGGAUAAUCCCGCAUACGCUCUACGGAGGAAAGCCCCUACGGGCGCUCUGGGAGGGGCCUGCGGCAUCAGGUUGUUGGUGUGGUAACGGCGCACCAAGCCACUGACGGGUACCCGGUCUGAGAGGACGGCCGGGCAGAGCUGGGACUGCGACACGGCCCAGACUCCUACGGGAGGAGCAGCAAGGAAUUUUCCCAAAUGGGCGCAAGCCUGGAGGGGAGCAACGCCGCGUGGAGGACGACGGCCUUCGGGUUGUAAACUCCUUUCGGGUGGGACGACCGCGACGGUACCACCAGAAGCAGCCCCGGCUAACUCUGUGCCAGCAGCCGCGGUAAGACAGAGGGGGCAAGCGUUGUCCGGAGUUACUGGGCGUAAAGGGCGCGGAGGCGGUCUGCGGCGUCCGCGCUGAAAGCGCCCCGCUUAACGGGGCGACGGCGUGCCGAUACGCGCAGUCUUGAGGCGAGCAGAGGGUGGUGGAAUUCCGGGUGGAGCGGUGAAAUGCGUAGAGAUCCGGAGGAACGCCAGUGGGGAAGCCGGCCACCUGGGCUCGUCCUGACGCUGCGGCGCGACAGCGUGGGGAGCAAACCGGAUUAGAUACCCGGGUAGUCCACGCCGUAAACGAUGCCAGCUCGGCGUGUGGCGCACGGUUGUGCGCUGCGUGCCUUAGCUCACGCGAUAAGCUGGCCGCCUGGGGACUACGAGCGCAAGCUUAAAACUCAAAGGAAUUGACGGGGGCCCGCACAAGCAGCGGAGCGUGUGGUUUAAUUCGACGCAACACGAAGAACCUUACCUGGGCUUGACAUGACGCUGCACGCCGUCGAAAGACGGCGCGCCUGCGAGGGCCCGUCA
rnacentral:rRNA from 1 species